rnacentral:rRNA from 1 species
AGCGAACGCUGGCGGCAGGCCUAACACAUGCAAGUCGUACGAACCUCUCGGGGUUAGUGGCGGACGGGUGAGUAACACGUGGGAACGUGCCUUUAGGUUCGGAAUAACUCAGGGAAACUUGUGCUAAUACCGAAUGUGCCCUUCGGGGGAAAGAUUUAUCGCCUUUAGAGCGGCCCGCGUCUGAUUAGCUAGUUGGUUGAGGUAAUGGCUCACCAAGGCGACGAUCAGUAGCUGGUCUGAGAGGAUGAUCAGCCACAUUGGGACUGAGACACGGCCCAAACUCCUACGGGAGGCAGCAGUGGGGAAUCUUGCGCAAUGGGCGAAAGCCUGACGCAGCCAUGCCGCGUGAAUGAUGAAGGUCUUAGGAUUGUAAAAUUCUUUCACCGGGGACGAUAAUGACGGUACCCGGAGAAGAAGCCCCGGCUAACUUCGUG